rnacentral:rRNA from 1 species
GGAUGAACGCUGGCGGCGUGCCUAAUACAUGCAAGUCGAGCGAAUGGAUUAAGAGCUUGCUYUUAUGAAGUUAGCGGCGGACGGGUGAGUAACACGUAGGCAACCUGCCCUUAAGUCUGGGACAACUCCCGGAAACGGUGGCUAAUACCGAAUAAUAUUUUUCUUCGCCUGGUUGAAAAUGGAAAGGCGGAUUCGUCUGUCACUUAGGGAUGGGCCUGCGGCGCAUUAGCUAGUUGGUGAGGUAACGGCUCACCAAGGCGACGAUGCGUAGCCGACCUGAGAGGGUGAUCGGCCACACUGGGACUGAGACACGGCCCAGACUCCUACGGGAGGCAGCAGUAGGGAAUCUUCCGCAAUGGGCGAAAGUCUGACGGAGCAACGCCGCGUGAGUGAUGAAGGCUUUCGGGUCGUAAAGCUCUGUUGUUAGGGAAGAACACUUGGGAGAGUAACUGCUCUCAAGGUGACGGUACCUGAGAAGAAAGCCCCGGCUAACUAC